GGUAUUUUUCAUUCAGUAAAAUUCAAUAAAAAUUUUCAACAGUUGCACACUUUUUGUCAAUAACACAAAAAAAUGGUGAUUGGCGCAUAUCCCAUAGGAAAAAUUACUUUACUAGGACUUAAACAAAUUGCUACACCUGUAAGCAAGGUGGUUAAACAAAUAGCGAAAACCAAUCCAUUGUUUAAAACUCUAAUAUGCAUACCUACGGGUCAGUUGGUGCACAAACUUGAGGUUAGAUUAAAAAUGCGUAUGUUACGACUUCCACAGCCGAAACGAAUACCGAAACUAACUGACUCUAUGGCCACUGAUCUGGGGGCUAACCUUAUGGCAGAAGUAUUUGUGAUUUCCCUCAGUGUAUAUCUACUAUUCUUUGAAUUAUCCAGGCAAGCGGAGAAGGACCGAAAGAAGCACGAGAAGCAUCAUAAAAGAAAAGAGUUGCUUGACGAUCAGAUAAGCACAUUACAUAAACAGCUUGACUGGCAGGAGCGAGAACUAAAAGAAAUCAAUAGACUUAUCCUUGAGCGCAAAACGCGUUGUGAAUGUGAAUGAAAUUACUCGCUGUACAGUGUAACUAAAAGCACGCGCACGCGCUAUCGAUAUACACAGUUUAUGUAUCGGUUAAUACUGAGAUUUUGUAAUCGCUGAGGAAUAAAAAAGCAACGCCAUGGUUAUUGGAGUCUUCCCAGCGGCCAAGCUUGGCGUUUU